UACACUCCUGCGGGAGGCAGCAGUGGGGAAUAUUGCCCAAUGGGCGCAAGCCUGAUGCAGCCAUGCCGCGUGUAUGAAGAAGGCCUUCGGGUUGUAAAGUACUUUCAGCGGGGAGGAAGGCGAUAAGGUUAAUAACCUUGUCGAUUGACGUUACCCGCAGAAGAAGCACCGGCUAACUCCGUGCCAGCAGCCGCGGUAAUACGGAGGGUGCAAGCGUUAAUCGGAAUUACUGGGCGUAAAGCGCACGCAGGCGGUCUGUCAAGUCGGAUGUGAAAUCCCCGGGCUCAACCUGGGAACUGCAUUCGAAACUGGCAGGCUAGAGUCUUGUAGAGGGGGGUAGAAUUCCAGGUGUAGCGGUGAAAUGCGUAGAGAUCUGGAGGAAUACCGGUGGCGAAGGCGGCCCCCUGGACAAAGACUGACGCUCAGGUGCGAAAGCGUGGGGAGCAAACAGGAUUAGAAACCCGUGUAGUCCCAUGAU
rnacentral:rRNA from 1 species